rnacentral:rRNA from 1 species
CAAUAGCGUAUAUUAAAGUUGCUGCAGUUAAAAAGCUCGUAGUUGCAUUUCCGAGGCAAGGGAUUAGUCCGACCUUUGGUGGGUAUUUAAUCCUCUUGCCUCGUCCUUGAGUGGUGCUUCUUGGUAUUAAGUUAUCGAGGAGAUAGCCGCUCAUCGUUUACUGUGAGAAAAUUAGAGUGUUCAAAGCAGGCUUAUGCCGUUGAAUAUAUUAGCAUGGAAUAAUAAGAUAGGACCUCGGUACUAUUUUGUUGGUUUGAGAACCAAGGUAAUGAUGAAUAGGGACAGUUGGGGGUAUUCGUAUUCAGUCGUCAGAGGUGAAAUUCUUAGAUUUACGGAAGACGAACUACUGCGAAAGCAUUUACCAAGGAUGUUUUCAUUAA